rnacentral:rRNA from 1 species
GACGCACGCUGGCGGCGUGCCUCAUACAUGCACGUAGCACGCAGUGGGGACGGGUGAGUAACACGUGGGUAACCUCCCAUCAGAGGGGAUAACACUUGGAGACAGGUGCUAAACCGCUACUGCUGGAUGAACCCGGGGUGCAUUAGCUAGUUGGUGGGGCAACGGCUCACCAAGGCCAAGAUGCAUAGCCGUUCGGCGAGGGUGAUCGGCCACACUGGGACUGAGACACGGCCCAGACUCCUACGGGAGGCAGCAGUAGGGAAUCUUCGGCAAUGGACGAAAGUCUGACCGAGCAACGCCGCGUGAGUGAAGAAGGUUUUCGGAUCGUAAAACUGUGUUGUUAGAGAAGCGGUAUCUAACCAGAAAGCCACGGCUAACUACGUGCCAGCCGCCGCGGUAAUAC